UACGUAGGUGGCAAGCGUUGUUCGGAAUUACUGGGCGUAAAGCGCACGUAGGCGGAUCGUUAAGUCAGAGGUGAAAUCCCGGAGCUCAACUUCGGAAUUGCCUUUGAUACUGGCGAUCUUGAGUGUGAGAGAGGUAUGCGGAACUCCGAGUGUAGAGGUGAAAUUCGUAGAUAUUCGGAAGAACACCAGUGGCGAAGGCGACAUACUGGCUCAUUACUGACGCUGAGGCGCGAAAGCGUGGGGAGCAAACAGG
rnacentral:rRNA from 1 species